CAGCGCAAUGCUUCCCUCUUCUCAGCCGCAGCCUGCACGGCACAGGUGUGCGGGGAGCGCGCUGCCUCACCAAAAAGCAGCAACGAGCUGAUGAAGCAGGGCUGGGAGCUCAGUGGCAGCUGACCUUGCACCAAUAUCACUGCUACCACACAGCCAAAAGAGUAUACCUGCUUCAGGGAAAAGAGCACUGACAGAACAGGCACAAAAGCAGAUCAGAGAUGAGGCAGCCCAGGCAGCAGGGAGCUGUGGCAAUCAGCACCUUCCCACCAUCAGAUGUCACUGCAGAGGAGCAACCCGAGGCCACACACGGAGGGGGACACUGCCCACGCCUCCACAGCAGGCACUGAACAGAUCCGUGGCUUCCUGAGCCCUCGCACAGCGAUCCCUUUCAGAAGGCCGAGUGCAGCGGGGGAAUUAUCCUUCUUAGGCUGAAGUUGUAAAAUCCGCAUUCAGCAUCUACCCAUAACAGUCUCAUUACAAAUAAUCCAUUUAUGUGUUGGCAGAGGAUAAAUGCAGUGAGGUAACGUGAUUGCUCGACUGUGAAAGCAUAAUUAAUAAUAAAUUACUGCAUCCAAUGGCCGUAACAAUGAAAUGUCCCACCCCUGGAGAGAAUGGAGCUGGACAUUUCAACAAGAAGCGGGGUGGACAGGUAGAAAGUUCACUCACUAAUGAUAAUGCCAGGGAUUUAAAAGAAAAAAAAAAAAAAAAAAAAAAAAAAAAAAAAAAAAAAAAAAAAAAAAGAAAACCACCCAGCAACUCCACUGACUCAUUGGAAGGCUGACAAAGUCUGAAGAAUGCAGUUUCUCAUCUGCUACACUGCAAGGUGAUAUGUUCUCAAUAAAAGCCUUAAGGCAUUCUCCAUUUAUCCACUGGCAUCCCUUAGCUCUCCCUGGCUUACCGAUGGCCAUACACGGUCACGCACACCCCCCUGGAUUAACAGGCCAAAACUUAGCCUUGCUGCAUUGUUGCUGUUUUUGCCAGGAGUGCAGGGGUUGAUCCAAGGCGUUUCCACCCAGCUGGCAGGGCUGCGCUCCCCUCCCAGCGUGCAGACGUGCCAGCACCGGGCUGCAGCCUGCUCACCCUCCCUGCACAUGCAUCUGCUCAAAUACUACCAUUUCACCUUUACUUUUGGUUUCUCUUCUGCAGUGUUGCAAAACUCCUCGCUGUGCUUUAACCGGUAACAUUUGGUGCCGCUAACCAAGGGAGAAACUGUCUGCAGCAGCCGUGAGUCACUCCUUGCACAGGGACCACUGGGCUUGCUGAAGCAGCAGGGAGUGAGGAAAGCAUCAAGGUUGGAUCCAAGGUCACGGGACAAUAGAGGUUUCCACGCACCAGCUCUCGGAGAGCAAGUGACAUUCUGUAUCUACAAUUUGUGGGAAGUAAUGGAAAAAUUGAAUUAACAGCUUGGAUGAUGGGACAGAGUACACUUCCAGAGCCUGUGGAAGACAUCAGCUCAGUGUCUACAUUCAGCUUCGAAGAGGUUAUAACCUGGAGGGCCUUUCCAACUCACCCACCUGAUCCUGAAUCUGCAUUUACAGUCUGUGGGAAUGCAACUGCACAGAGCCAGCCACGGGAUCCGCAGGCAUAGUUUCAUACACACCGAAAGCUGCCUAAAUAAUGCACAACAAAAUCAAGGAGGAAAAGGGCUCACCAGAAGAAAAAUAGUUGUUCACA